rnacentral:ncRNA from 1 species
GAGAACUGAUAUACCGAUUAGUAGAAUGAUAGGGUAACGCCUUGAAAUACUAACUUUGAUACUCCGUUUAGCUUCUUAUAUUAAAAGAGAUAUAAUUAGUUAAAAGCACGGUAAAGUCAGCUGAGACCUAGAACCCAAAGGUUCAUUACAGAUGUUUUUGUUCUUAACAUAUAUUUCCUUCUGUAAUAAAUACUGGAAAUGCGAAUACAAAUUCGAGUUCUGAUAGGCUGGAAGUCUAUAAA